rnacentral:rRNA from 1 species
CGGCUCANUAACACGUGGAUAACCUGCCCUUGGGUCCGGCAUAACCCCGGGAAACUGGGGAUAAUUCCGGAUAACGCACAUAUGCUGGAAUGCUUUAUGCGUAAAAUGGAUUCGUCUGCCCAAGGAUGGGUCUGCGGCCUAUCAGGUAGUAGUGGGUGUAAUGUACCUACUAGCCAACAACGGGUACGGGUUGUGAGAGCAAGAGCCCGGAGAUGGAUUCUGAGACAUGAAUCCAGGCCCUACGGGGCGCAGCAGGCGCGAAAACUUUACAAUGCGGGAAACCGUGAUAAGGGGACACCGAGUGCCAGCAUCAUAUGCUGGCUGUCCAGGUGUGUAAAAUACACCUGUUAGCAAGGGCCGGGCAAGACCGGUGCCAGCCGCCGCGGUAACACCGGCGGCCCGAGUGGUGAUCGUGAUUAUUGGGUCUAAAGGGUCCGUAGCCGGUUUGGUCAGUCCUCCGGGAAAUCUGACGGCUCAACCGUUAGGCUUUCGGGGGAUACUGCCAGGCUUGGAACCGGGAGAGGUAAGAGGUACUACAGGGGUAGGAGUGAAAUCUUGUAAUCCCUGUGAGACCACCUGUGGCGAAGGCGUCUUACCAGAACGGGUUCGACGGUGAGGGACGAAAGCUGGGGGCACGAACCGGAUUAGAUACCCGGGUAGUCCCAGCCGUAAACGAUGCUCGCUAGGUGUCAGGCAUGGCGCGACCGUGUCUGGUGCCGCAGGGAAGCCGUGAAGCGAGCCACCUGGGAAANUACGGCCGCAAGGCUGGANCUUUAAAGGAAUUGGCGGGGNNCAC